rnacentral:rRNA from 1 species
CACGUAGGGGACGAGCGUUGUCCGGAUUCAUUGGGCGUAAAGGGCGCGUAGGCGGUCUUGUAAGUCUUGUGUGAAAUCCCUCGGCUCAACUGAGGAACUGCACGGGAUACUGCGAGACUUGAGUUCGGGAGAGGGAAGCGGAAUUCCGGGUGUAGCGGUGAAAUGCGUAGAUAUCCGGAGGAACACCGGUGGCGAAGGCGACUACCUGGCCUGUUCUUGACGCUGAGGCGCGAAAGCUAGGGGAGCAAACGGG